CUCCGCGCCGUACUCUCGUUUCCAGGUUGCGCCGUCGCCCUGUUGCGCCCGCGAAACACGCCGGCCAAACAUGGAGGAAAAAACAACUCAGUGCGCGCCACGGAGGAACUUCCUCUGUGGUGCGCGCCGACUGCGCAUUUUUACGUGCGGCAUGUUCGGCGCCUGCGCGUUGUCGCCACUUCAAGGAAGCCAAUAUGGGAAAACACGACGCUCCGUGCACCUUUGUUUCUGGUAGGAGCAGCUCGGAAAGAGUUGCAAGUUUAGUUUGACUGUGAUGCUACUAAGGUACUGUACCACCGAACAUUAGGGCUUAUGAUCUGCCCUGCCCGUCCGUCGAGAUGUCUAAGCGCGUUUGGACGCCAUCGAGGAACGACGAGGUACCGCACAUCACGAAGUGGAAGUAUUGUAGGAAAAAGGAAAAUGAAAAAGAAAUACUGUGUUGUGGGCGCCUUCUGCAUGCAAACUUCUGCCUUGUCGUGAGCACUUGGGUUUCGCGUACGUGCUCGUCAACUACAAGCAACCGCAUGCGAGUGCCCGCGCGAUCUGCAGAAACUCGCAUUUAUCUGGAAUGAACUUUUCUUAUGUAUGCGCUGGUGUGAAGCCAAUAAAACAAGCGCGAGAGAGGCGGCAAGCCGCUUGAAGAGCUCUGUUCAAAGGAUCCUUCACAGGAUGGUCGACAUUCUCCUCGCCAUGAGUCUAUCUGACAGAACGACUGUCCAGUGAAUUAAGGAUGGUACUCAAGAUCAAAUCAUCUGCCCGAGUCUUGGCCAAUUCCCCUGGGUGGCUUGGUUCCAAUCAUCUAAGGAGCAUAAUUAUCAAGAUUAACAUAUGUAUUAUUUCAAGUACCACAUAUUUUGCUACACCCUUGUAACUUCUUGCCACGGUCACAUUUUUCUGAACCAAGUGCGUCAGAAAAUUGGGAAAUUUCAACUCGUUUUUCUGACCCAAGGUAGCUGCCAUUUUGUUUAUCCCCACAUGUGUACGAGCACUCAUGAAACUUGAAACGACUCCCACAAGUUGCAUACAUAUACGAAAUGUGUUAAAAAAUAAUGUUUUUCACACUUUCACUGCUUGUGGUACAACAUUUGAAGCAUUGCUUCCCUCAAACUACUCCCCUCUACUGGCAAUACAGUGUCGCAAUCAUUUCUUCCAUUUUUGGUAAGCUUCCUGGAACGCACUAAUGGCCUGGAAGUAUCUUCUUGUAUUGUCCAGGACCUUCUGUAUUGUUUGGAAAUGGCAUCUGUCAAUGUAGUUUAUGUUUGGAAUAAAGAAAAUAAAGUGAAAUUUCAUGACAU
rnacentral:lncRNA from 1 species